ACUACGGAACGCGCACGCGGGGCGCCACAGCUGGGGAACCCAUGCCCGGUCCGCGCGCCGACGUCCACUGCGCGCUCGUGCGCGUCCUGGGGCCUCCGCGGAGGGAGUGCGCGGUCCAGGAGAGGGCGGGGCGCUGCGAGCGGGCGGUGUUGUGGGAAGGAGGAAGGAGAGGAAGAGAGAGAGGGGGAGAGAAAGGAAAGGCUUGGGGCGGGGAGAGGCCACAGGGCCGUGUCUGGAUCCCCGGGAGGACCCCACCCCGACCUGGCCGGCCCCCGUGACCGCCCUCCCUGCCGAGGGGGCACCUGUCCGGGUGGUCCGCAGCCUGCACACGGUUCCAAGUUCUUGUCCCAUGUCCAGGAAGAAUGAGGUUUGGCAGACAUCUGGAGGGUGAGCAAGGCAGAGAACAGCUGACCAAAUAGCUCUCAGUGGAGAGGAGACUCGAAGUGGGUAGCUCCUAUCCACAGGCACGUAUGGGCUCAGAAUGGAGGAAGUACAUGUUGAUUGGUCCAUAGACAGGAGGAAGUGUGUGCUGAUUGGCCCAUGGGCAGGCCUGGAAAAAGCACUACUUGAUUGGCUGAAAGGCAUCAAGUAAGUUCUCUUUCUGGAUCUCGGACUUCACCAGGAACUGGCAUCCUGGCCCAGGAACUUCAGGCUGUCCCUGGCUUGAAAGUGGGGUUUCACCAGGGACCUGCCCCUUCCCACCCAGGAACCUGUCUGCCUCCCGCUGCCAUCACCGUUCACUGGGAAUGUGACCUUCCCCGCAAAUAGAUGACACUCCUCCAGAACUCAGCUCAAGCUUUACCUUCUAUAGGGGUUUAUUUCCUGAACCCCAUAACCCUCACUGUAAUGCAAUCUCUUAGCCCCCUACCACAGGCCUCAUCAUCUCCUCCAUGUCAAGCACUGUGUCAUCCUUAGUCCUAUAUCCGUGGCGUAAGGCCUGGCACAUUUUAGAUGCUUGAAGAAAAUAUUUUCUGAAUAAAUGAAUGAAUGAGGCAUGAGAUCAUCUGUGUUCUUAAAAUCUUACAAUGUGGUAAAUUAGAAAA
rnacentral:lncRNA from 10 species